GGAGGAUUAGCUCAGCUGGGAGAGCACCUGCCUUACAAGCAGGGGGUCGGCGGUUCGAUCGUCAUCCUCCACCA
rnacentral:tRNA from 1 species